CCGCUGUCCAGGUUCAAGCAAUUCUCCUGCCUCAGCCUCCCCAGUAGCUGGGAUUACAGGUGCACACCACCAUGCCCGGCUAAUUUUUGUAUUUUUAGUAGAGACGGGGUUUCACCAUGUUGCCCAGCCUGGUCUUGAACUCCUGACCUCAAGUGAUCCACUCACCUCAGCCUCCCAAAGUGCUGGGAUUACAGGGGUGAGCCACAGCGCCUGGCCUGCAGUGCCCUCCUAAGUGGUUUUGCUGCUCCCACAUCCUGCUCUCACCCUGUUCAGGAUACUAUCGGUGCCGCUUCCCAAAAGAUCCUGUUCAAACAUAAAUCAGAGCCUGUCACUUCUCCAUUAAAACCCUCCAGUGGCUUCCUGUAUCAUGCUGGGUGCAAACCAAAGUCCAUACUACCACCCACAAAUUGUAGCAAGAUACUGCUCCUUUUAGCCACACUGACUUUAACUCCUGUGACGCUCCCGUCCUCACUCCAUUCCAGCCAUGCUGUUCAUCAAACUGGCCUUUCCCCUGUUCAUCAAACUGCCCAGAAGCUGGAGAUGAAGGCAAAGCAACCAUUCUUCCUGGGAGAGUCACCAACCAUCCCCAUUUGCCUGGGACUAGGGGGUCUCCUGAGUUGUGAGACUUCAGGUUUUAAAACCAGGACAACCCCAAGAAAACCAAGAUAGUUGGUCAGCCCACUCCCAGAACUGGAGGCAUGGCCAAUCCUGACAGAGCUGCUGGAGGUCCCCUUUUCACAGUUCCAACAAGGGUCAGGUUGGAAUUUUCCAGAAGGCAUACCUACGGAGAUUCUCCAGCUGGGCCUGCUUGAGUCCCAUGUCCACCCCAGAGAUAAUCGCCAGGACAGAGAGUGGAUGCAGAGGAGGCAGAUGAGAACCGCCCACCAGGAAACAGGCACGUCCCAUUCUACAAAGCCUUCACAUGUCUGAAGCCAGCCUGACCUCUCCCCAGUUUCUCCAUUUGUCCUCAAAUGCAGGGCUUCCCAGGCCCUUCCCCAUCUGUGGUAUUAGGGAGGGGACCACUCUGGAAGGAGACCCUAGGCUUUCCCUCCCACCUGAGUGUCAGUAUUCUCAGAGGAGCCAAUCUGGAAACGAGAUCUCAGGAGGUCUGAGGGGAGCUGUGGCCAAUGGGCAGGCCUGCGAAGGCAGAAGACACCGACUCCACUGCUGGGCUGUGGGAGACCCUCGGGGCCAGCAAAGUCAGGCAACCAGGAUAGGCUCAUGUUUAAGCAAAAUGUCAGGAACAAUUUUCAAAUAAUCGACUCCAUUUGCUCCAAUUCAGCCUUCCAACACUGCUUCAGGUAAAAUGCCUCUUUUUACAUUUCAACCAACGGGUCUUAUUGUUAAUCUGGAAAAUACACAAUAAAUGCAUUACUUUCCCUGUAUUUCCAGGCUUUCUAGACACUCUUUGGCACAUGUAUGGUACUUUUUUAGUUUAACAAUUGAACCCACUAAUUUCAAUGUAAAGGUACUUUGCAGGCAGACACCUAUAAUCCCAGUACUUUGGGAGGUUGAGGUGGGCAGAUCACCUGAGGUCAGGAGUUCAAGACCAAUCUGGCCAACAUGGUGAAACUCCAUCUCUACUAAAAAUACAAAAAUUAGCUGGGCAUGGUGGCAGGUGCCUGUAAUCCCAGCUAUUUGGGAGGCUGAGGCAGGAGAAUAGCUUGAACAUGGGAGGUGGAGGUUACAGCGAGCUGAGAUCACACCAUUGCACUCUAGCCUGGGCGACAGAGCAAAACUCCAUCUAAAAAAAAAAUACAAGGCUGGGCAAGGUGGCUCACACCUGUAAUCUCAGCACUUUGGGAGGCCAAGGCAGGUGGAUCAACUGAGGUCAGGAGUUCAAGACCAGCCUGGCCAACAUGGUGAAACCCCGUCUCUACUAAAAAUACAAAAUUAGCUGGGUGUGGUGGCUCAUGCCUGUAAUCACAGCUACUCAGGAGGCUGAGACAGGAGAAUUGCUUGAACCCAGGAGACAGAGGUUGCAGUGAGCCAGGAUUGUGCCAUUGCACUCCAGCCUGGGCAACAAGAGUGAAACUCUGUCUCAAAACUAAAACAAAACAAAACAAAAACCUCAAUGUAAAGGUACUUUGCCCACUGAGCACCAUGGCUCAUGCCUGUAAUCCCAGCACUUUGAGGCUGAGGCGGGCAGAUCACCUGAGGUCAGGAGUUCAAGACCAGCCUGACCAACAUGGUGAAACCCCCAUCUUUACUAAAAA
rnacentral:lncRNA from 1 species